rnacentral:rRNA from 1 species
GAACGCAGUAGCAUACUGAGUGGCAACGGGUGAGUAUAUGUGGGUAUCUGCCUUUUGGUUUGGAAUAACACGAGGAAACUUGUUGCUAUACCGGAUAAGCCUUCACAGGGCAAAGUUUUAUACGCCGAAAGAUGAGCCCGCACUUGAUUAGUUAGUUGGUGAGGUAAAAGCUCACCAAGACAAUGAUCAAUAGCUGGUCUGAGAGGACGAUCAGCCACAUUGGGACUGAGACACGGCCCAGACUCCUACGGGAGGCAGCAGUAAGGAAUCUUGCACAAUGGGGGAAACCCUGAUGCAGCGAUGCCGCGUGAGUGAAGAAGGCCCUUGGGUUGUAAAACUCUUUCGUCGGGGAAGAAAAUGACUGUACCCGAAUAAGAAGGUCCGGCUAACUUCGUGCCAGCAGCCGCGGUAAUACGAAGGGACCUAGCGUAGUUCGGAAUUACUGGGCUUAAAGAGCUCGUAGGUGGUUAAAAAAGUUGAUGGUGAAAUCCCAAUGCUCAACCUUGGAACUGCCAUCAAAACUUUUUAGCUAGAGUGUGAUAGAGGACAGUGGACUUUCUAGUGUAGAGGUGAAAUUCGUAGAUAUUAGAAAGAACACAAAUGCGAAGGCAACUUACUGGGUCACUACUGACACUGAGGAGCGAAAGCUGGGUACGCAGACGAUUAAUACCCCGAGAUCAUGCGGAACGAGUGUGUGACUUGA